ACGUGCUUAGGAGCCAUAUUAGCGCUGGUGACCGCUGCGGCUGGGAGGGGGUGUGCCAGAGCGGCGCAGCUUCACUGGGCGUGGUUUUCAUCCUGUGGGAAGGCUCGGUGGAAUGUGAGGGGAGAUGGAGGAGAUGGCGGCGACAGCGCGGGAAGAUGGCGCGAGCGGUCAAGAGCGAGGGCAGCGGGGCUGCGAGCACUAUGACAGAGGAUGUCUCCUGAAGGCACCUUGCUGUGACAAGCUUUAUACUUGCCGUUUGUGUCAUGAUAACAAUGAAGAUCAUCAACUAGACCGCUUUAAAGUGAAGGAAGUGCAGUGCAUAAACUGUGAAAAAAUUCAACAUGCCCAACAGACUUGUGAAGAAUGUAGCACAUUGUUUGGAGAAUAUUAUUGUGAUAUAUGCCAUUUGUUUGACAAAGAUAAGAAACAGUAUCACUGUGAAAACUGUGGAAUUUGUAGGAUUGGUCCAAAGGAAGAUUUUUUCCAUUGUUUGAAAUGUAACUUAUGCCUAGCUAUGAAUCUUCAAGGAAGACACAAGUGUAUUGAAAAUGUGUCCCGACAGAAUUGUCCAAUAUGUUUGGAGGACAUUCACACAUCUCGUGUUGUUGCUCAUGUCUUGCCAUGUGGACAUCUUUUACAUAGAACAUGUUAUGAAGAAAUGCUGAAAGAGACUGAGAAAAAAGACUUAGUUUUAAAGGCUACAGAUGUCCAUUAUGUAUGCACUCUGCUUUCGAUAUGACCAGGUAUUGGAGACAGCUAGAUGCUGAAGUAGCACAGACUCCUAUGCCAUCAGAAUAUCAGAACAUGACUGUGGAUAUUCUCUGCAAUGACUGUAAUGGACGAUCCACUGUUCAGUACCAUAUAUUAGGCAUGAAAUGUAAGAUUUGUGAAUCCUACAAUACUGCUCAAGCUGGAGGAUGUAGUUUUUCACUGGAUCAGCAAUGACCAGCCUAUGCAGUACUGGAGAACUUGGCAUUUUCUGAUAUAGAAAAAGGCUUUCCUUGGUAUCCUGUUAUCAUGUGUCAUAAUCUAUGCAUUAGAGUUGAUGUGUUUUGUACUAGUGUUACAGCAUAAAAUCAUGUUACAAGUACUUAAGGAUUCAGGGUCUCUUGAUAGAAUUUUCAUAGCUCUAUAUUGAAUGAAAGCCAUGUGCUUGUGUUUGGAUUGGAAAUUCCUUUAGUGUCAGUUUUUUGGAAGCCAAUGAUGUUUGCCACUGAUAUAUUCAUAGAAAUGUAUUAUAGUUUCAUGAAACUUUGCUUUAAGUGACACUAUGCACGCAGUUCAUUUCUAGUUCUUGGUAGAACUGCACUUAAUUCUCAGUAGUAGUCUUGACUUUUUAAGGCUGUGCUGUAGUAAGUUCUCCCCUAUUGUUAAAACCUAAUUAAAUAUGCUUUAGAAUUUUCUAUGAAAGUCCUCUGGAUCCUCUAAAUGUGAAUUUUGAUGUAAUAAAUGCUUAUAAAAUUAUAUUAAAACAAUG